CCAGCACCUCAAGUGGUCAGGAUGAUUAUUGGGCCUAAAGCAUCCGUAGCCGGCUCUGUAAGUUUUCGGUUAAAUCUAUACGCUCAACGUAUGGGCUGCCGAAAAUACUGUAGAGAUAGGGAGUGGGAGAGGUAGACGGUACUCGGUAGGAAGGGGUAAAAUCCUUUGAUCUAUCGAUGACCACCUGUGGCGAAGGCGGUCUACCAGAACACGUUCGACGGUGAGGGAUGAAAGCUGGGGGAGCAAACCGGAUUAGAUACCCGGGUAGUCCCAGCUGUAAACGAUGCAGACUCGAUGAUGCAUUGGCAUAUAGCCAGUGCAGUGUCGCAGGGAAGCCGUUAAGUCUGCCGCCUGGGAAGUACGUACGCAAGUAUGAAACUUAAAGGAAUUGGCGGGGGAGCACCACAAGGGGUGAAGCCUGCGGUUCAAUUGGACUCAACGCCGGGA
rnacentral:rRNA from 1 species